rnacentral:rRNA from 1 species
UACGAAGGGGGCUAGCGUUGUUCGGAAUUACUGGGCGUAAAGCGUGCGCAGGCGGCUUCUCAAGUCAGGGGUGAAAGCCCAGAGCUCAACUCUGGAAUUGCCUUUGAGACUGAGUGGCUUGAGUACGAGAGAGGUGAGUGGAAUUCCCAGUGUAGAGGUGAAAUUCGUAGAUAUUGGGAAGAACACCGGUGGCGAAGGCGGCUCACUGGCUCGUAACUGACGCUCAUGCACGAAAGCGUCGGGAGCAAACAGG